CAAAUUAAAUUAAAUUAAAUUAAAUUCUUCUUCAAAGGGAUCGACUGGAUUCCUAGUCCGUGCUUCUCCUUUGAUUUCGCCCUGCCCUGGAGAGAGCUCGUCUUUUAUAUUAUAUUAAUAUAAAUUAUUAUAUAUUAAUAUAUAAUAUCCUUUCUCUCUUUUUCUCCCUUCCUGUCUUUUCCUUCUAUCUUUCCCCUUUCUUUCAUUAUCUUUCUCUUCCUUCCUUUUUCUCUUAACCUUUCUUUCCCUUUUUCCAUUCCUUCUUUUCUUCCCUUUUUCUUUCCCUUCCUUUCCCUCCUUUUCUAUUUUUCUCUUUCCCUUCCUUUCAUUUUCUUUCUUUUCCUCCUUUUCUAUCGUUCUUUCCCUUUCUUUUUUCUUUCCCUCCCUUCCUUUUAUUUCUUUUCCUUCCUUCCUUUCAUUCUCUUUCCCUUUUUUAUUUUCCUUUCCUUUCCUUCCCUUUUUCUUUUCCUUCCUUUCCCUCCUUUCCUAUCUUUCUUUCCCUUUUUUCUUUCCCUUCCUUCCUUUCAAUUUCUUUCUUUUCUUCUUUCAUUCUCUUUCCUUUUUUUCCUUUCCUUUUUUCCCUUUUUCUUUUCCUUCCUUUCCCUCCUUUUCUAUCUUUCCCUUUACCUUCUUUCUUUUUUUCCCCUUCCUUCCUUUCCCAUUCUUUCUCUUCCUUUUAUACAGCCACCGAUCUGGCUUCCCAGCAGGGCAAGAAACAGAAAAAAAGAUGGAGAAGGGCAUCCUUAAUGCCCCCUCCUCAGAAAAAGUCAAGAGCCACGUGGAUCGAGAGACAAAGAGCCGAGAUUGCUGGGGGGAGUUACAAUGCCCUGAUUGGAGAUCCGCUCUGAGACGUUGGGAAGCCACGUGGAGGUUAGAGAAAGGCUGAAUCACAGAUCCCCGACAACCUAAGGACGGCAGGAGAUCUCAAAAAAGAUCCCAGAGCGAUGAUUCGUGGCGAUCAUCCAAUCCGUGGGAGCUAAAAGCCAACCUGAUCCUUUAAAAAAUCUUUUUAGGGAUGUAGGAGAUGAGACUCCGGAAAGAACAACAGGGUUUGGACAAGAUUGAGGUGUAACCAAGAAAACUGAAGAUCGGCAAACAGAAAAGACAUCCAGGACUUCAAAAGACUUCAGAAAAAUAAUCUGCAGUGUAUUAAUUUUAUGUAUUUCUUUGCCUAUUCCUAUAUGUACUUUUCGAGUUAUUCAAAGCUGUUACCAAUAAUUACAUUUUUUUUUAAAACAAAUGUGAUGGUGUCAUUUUUAAAAAGAUCAGUAAAUCUCAGAGCUGGCAUCCUACAGCCUAUUUAAAUUUGGCACCUAUUAAUAAUGAUUGAAUAUAAUUUGAGUAUCGAAGUUUCUUCCGUACAUAACCCUGAUUCAGUUUAAAUGAAGGCCCGAUUUAAUCUAAUUAAAUUAAAAUUCUUUAAAUUGUCGCACUUUAUUGUCUUUUGAGUUUUCUUUUAUGUGGAUUGUUUUCUGUUUGGGACAAAAUCCUUUUUCCCCCCCGUUUCAUUUCUAUACAAUAAAUUAUAUUUUGAAAAGCUUGA